GACGUCUUGGUGACUUUCUUUCGUGGUAAAAAUUUUAUAUUUCGUAUGUAUAAAUUUUUAUUCUGUUUUCUUGAAUUAUUUAAUUUAGAUUGUUGUUAAGCAAUUCAUAAUAAAAUUACGUUCUAGUUAAAGAAAAAUGAAAAAAUUAAAAAUUUAUGAGAAAAUUUUAAUGAUUUAUCAUUGGAAAUUAAAUUUUAAAAUCUGAUAAGGAAUAUUUUAUUAAAUUUCAGAUAUUAAUAAAUAAUUGGUAACAUUUUUAUACGUAAUUCAUGAUUAGUUAAAAUGGAAAGGCAAUAUUUCCAGAACAAAUGCUCGAUAAGAAGAAGAAAAGUAUCAAAAAGAUAUUUCUUUUUCUUCUAUUCCCCAUCCCUCUACUAAUUUAAUGUUAAUUUCAGAAAAUAUUUGUGACCGCGCGCAAUGCGGUUAAUAGAAUCAGUGUUUGCUUCGUCAUAGUAUUUUGAAUAUUUUUUAGAGCACAACAGCUCUUAUUAAAUUUAAUUAGAAUAAUCAAACGCGAAGAUAGAAUCAGUGUUUGUUCGCCGAUUAUAAUAUAUACGGACGCGUUAUUAGAGUUUCUUAUUUUUUAUUUUUUUUUUUUAUUCUCAAUAUUCGUUUUCGGCACAGGGUAGAGUCAGUGCUUCUCUCAAGAGAAUAAGGCGAUCAUCCACCACGCGAAGAGAUGCUGAUGAUCUUUAUGAAGAUUUUUGGAUUUUAAUCUUAAAAAAUAUUUGUGACCACGUGCAAUGUGGUUAGUAGAAUCAGUGUUUGCUUCGUUAUAGUAUUUUGAAUAUUUUUUUAGAGCACAACAGCUCUUAAAUUAAAUUUUAAUUAGAAUGAUCAAACGCGAAGAUAGAAUCAGUGUUUGUUCGCCGAUUAUAAUUUAUACGGACGCGUUGUUAACUUCUUAUUUUUAUUUUUUUUUAUUUUAAAUAUUCGUUUUCGGCACAGGGUAGAGUCAGUGCUUCUCUCAAGAGAAUAAGGCGAUCAUCCAUCACGCGAAGAGAUUUCUUCUACCUGAUGACUUCCUGAUGUACCUGAUGGGCUACGGUAACAGUGAAGGCGUUCGUCGCAUCAUAUGGUGAGUCGCAUGCUUUUUGGUUCCUCCGGUCAUUCAACCAUGUCGUAGGAUGAAAGAUCCGAAUCGACACGAGUGACUGGUUGUAUACGUAGAAUUUUGCACGAGCACAAUGACCGCGGAUAUUUAUUUAUAAUAAUUAUCCGCGAGUAGUAACGAUUAUUUCUUUUGUGUUUUAUUUAUUAGUUCAGGCUAGGGUCUUCUUACGCUUCGCGUUUUUGAUUAAUAUAAAAUGUUUAGUAAUUUUAAUAAUGCCAAAACAUAUAAUAAUUAUUAUUAUAUAAUUAUCAGUGUAAUACAAUAAUUAGUUUGAAUUUUUUUAAUUCAAAAUCCUUCAGAAUAACAUUUUAAGUUAUUUGAUCAAUUUGAUUAUUGUGAUUGUCACAUAAUUUCAUAUAACUUCAAUAUGAUUUACAACAACUGGUAGAUAGUAAAUUUUUCAAUUUUUAUUCGUACAAAUAUGAAGUAAAUUUUGUGUAAGAAGACAUUUCGCGACAGGUAGAUUUUAGAAUCAGAGCAAUAAGUUUUGAAUAUUGUUCUUGUGAUUUUGAAAAUAUGCUCUGAUGAAGGAAUCGCCUGAGGGUAUUUCUAUUAAUAUUUAUAUUAAAUUGCAAUGAAUUCUAAU